rnacentral:tRNA from 1 species
GGGCGAGUGCCGGAAUCGGUAGACGGGCGCGGCUCAAAACCGCGUGGCCGCAAGGUCGUGAGGGUUCGAGUCCCUCCUCGCCCA